UACGUAGGGCGCAAGCGUUAUCCGGAAUUAUUGGGCGUAAAGAGCUCGUAGGCGGUUUGUCGCGUCUGCUGUGAAAGCCCGGGGCUCAACCCCGGGUCUGCAGUGGGUACGGGCAGACUAGAGUGCAGUAGGGGAGACUGGAAUUCCUGGUGUAGCGGUGAAAUGCGCAGAUAUCAGGAGGAACACCGAUGGCGAAGGCAGGUCUCUGGGCUGUAACUGGCGCUGAGGAGCGAAAGCGUGGGGAGCAAACAGG
rnacentral:rRNA from 1 species